GAUGAGCGCUGGCGGUAUGCCUAACACAUGCAAGUCGUACGCCUCACUUCGGUGAGGAGUGGCGGACGGGUGAGUAACACGUUAGUACCUGCCCCAAAGUGGGGAAUAACUGCCCGAAAGGGUAGCUAAUACCCCAUAGUCUCCGGUUUAUCCGGAGUAAAGAUUUAUCGCUUUGGGAGGGGCUUGCGUUUGAUUAGCUAGUUGGUGAGGGUAAUGGCCCACCAAGGCGACGAUCAAUAGCUAGAUCGAGAGGUUGACCAGCCACACUGGGACUGAGAUACGGCCCAGACUCCUACGGGAGGCAGCAGUGAGGAAUCUUCCACAAUGAGCGAAAGCCUGAUGGAGCAAUACCGCGUGCAGGAUGAAGCUUUUCGGAGUGUAAACUGCUUUUCUGAAGGAAGAUUAUGACGGUACUUCAGGAAUAAGGAUCGGCUAACUACGUG
rnacentral:rRNA from 1 species